AUGACUGCAGUGGUGCUCCUCUGUGUCCUCGUAGUCUUCACUCAGGACUCAAGUUGUCAGAUUUCUGUGAAUCAGCCUUCAGAACCAAAAUCAGUUCCUGUUGGAGGGAGUGUCACGUUCACUUGUAGCACUGGGAGUAAUGUGAAUAACUGGAUAGCCUGGUACCAGCAGAGACCUGGAGAAGCUCCCAAACUUCGGAUCUCUGGUGCAGACUCUCGCCACAGUGACACCCCAAGUCGCUUCAGUGGCAGCGGAUAUAGAACUUCAUUUAGUCUGUCCAUCACUGGAGUCCAGCCUGGAGAUGCUGGUCACUACUACUGUCAGCAGUAUUGGAGUGUCCCUCUCACACAGUAA